AUGCGUAGGAGGCGAGCGUUGUCGGGAAUUACUGGGCGUAAAGGGCGUGUAGGUGGCCGAGCAAGUCAAGUGUGAAAAGCCCCGGCUUAACCGAGGCAUUGCACAUGAAACUGCAUGGCUUGAGUGCAGGAGAGGGAAGUGGAAUUCCUAGUGUGGCGGUGAAAUGCGUAGAUAUUAGGAGGAACACCAGUGGCGAAGGCGACUUCCUGGACUGUAACUGACGCUGAGGCGCGAAAGCGUGGGUAGCAAACAGGAUUAGAUACCCUGGUAGUCCACGCCGUAAACGAUGGGUACUAGGUGUGGGUAGUUCACACUAUCCGUGCCGCAGCAAACGCAAUAAGUACCCCGCCUGGGGAGUACGGCCGCAAGGUUGAA
rnacentral:rRNA from 1 species